AUGAAGAUGAGAAAACAGCGUUAUCAAAACAAAGAGGAGAUCGCCGAAGGUAUAUCUGAGCUCGUAAAGAAGAAGCAAUAUCCGGUGAAGAAGUUGAACGCCCUGUACAAUACUCUGGUGGCUAGCAGCAAGUUCCGAGGAUUACGUAAGACACGACGACGCAACGAUAAUGACACAGGUGGUACCAAGAUAAGGAUAGGUCCAGCUUCUGUAACAGAAAGAGAGUUAGUACAAUGCCUAAUGCCUAAAGGAAAGAUGUGCAAAAAUAUGAUGUGGUUACUGUCCGUGGCACUUAUGUAUGAUUGGGGAUCAAAGACCAAGGUCAUAUUGGACCAGACAGUUAUAACCGAAUUGCUCAGAAAACAAAAUAAAUGCAACCAUGCAUAUCUAUGCAAGAAGCUUAGUAAGUUGCAACUUGAAAAUGUUGAGCAGUGGGUAAUGGAUGUCUUCAGGAAGGAAAUUUGCUAUAUCCUUGUUUACCACCGCUUCAAUGAUCUCAACCCAAGGAGGCCUGAGAUUAAGAAGUUAGCAUCAUCUGUGAAGACAACAAUAGACUGA
rnacentral:rRNA from 1 species